GGGAAAUGGCUCAGUCAGUAAAGUGUGUGCCUUGAAAGCAUGAGGACCUGGGUUCACAUUCCCAGCACCCA
rnacentral:tRNA from 1 species